rnacentral:rRNA from 1 species
CAGGCUGCAACUCGCCUGCAUGAAGUCGGAAUUGCUAGUAAUCGCGGAUCAGCAUGCCGCGGUGAAUACGUUCCCGGGCCUUGUACACACCGCCCGUCACACCAUGGGAGUCGGUAACACCCGAAGCCGAUAGUCUAACGAAAGAGGACGUCGUCGAAGGUGGGAUUGAUGACUGGGGUGAAGUCGUAACAAGGUACC